GAUGAACGCUGGCGGCGUGCUUAACACAUGCAAGUCGAACGGAAAGGCCCAAGCUUUCUUGGGUUCUCGAUUGGCGAACGGGUGAGUAACACGUGUGUGAUCUGCCCUGCACUUCGUGAUAAGCCUUGGAAACUGGGUCUAAUACCGGAUAGGACGAUGUUUUGGAUGCCAUUGUGGAAAGUUUUUUCGGUGUGGGAUGAGCUCGCGGACUAUCAGCUUUUUAUUGGGUUAAUGGCAUACCAAGGCGUAGACGGGGAGCCGGCCUGAGAGGGUGUAGGGACAGAUUGGAAUUGAGAUACGGCCCAGAGUAGUGCGGGAGGCAGCAGUGGCGAAUAUUGCACAAUGGGAGGAAGCGUGAUGGAGCAACGCCGCGUGGGGGAUGACGGCUUUCGGGUUGGAAACUCCUAUCGCUAGGGAAGAAGGGUUUUUGUGACGGUACCUAAAGAAGAAGCAACGGCUAACUACGUG
rnacentral:rRNA from 1 species